GCAGUAGGUCGUUCUAUCGCUCCCGAAAGGGGGAGGAAAGUCCGGACAACAAAGAGCGUUGUGCCUGUUGAAAGAACAGAUGUGCGUGAGCGUAUGGUAUGGCAGAAGAAAAUAACCGCCAGAGCAAUCUGGUAAGGGUGAGAAGGCGGUGUAAGAGACCACCAUUGUGCGGAGCGAUUCGCACAGAUGUGCCACCGACAAGUUGCAAGACCAAGUAAACCGAUGCUUGAGGGCUGCUCGUCCGAGUCGGAGGGUAGGUUGCGUUAGAUAAAUGAUAGAAUCCCGUACGGGAACAGAAUCCGGCUUAUAGACUUACUGCUUUU
rnacentral:RNase_P_RNA from 1 species